CCUGAGAAAUCCAAAAGUUCGAAUGGAGAGAUUCAGCGUCAGUGGCGAUAGGCUUGCGUGCGAUUGGCGAUGCUCGUGUUCGCUCGAGUGCCCUCGGGCAUUCGACGGGCGCGCGGCACGCUGUCGCUGCGUCAUGUUCGGCGCCGCCGGCGUGCACUUCUCUCCUAGUAGGACGUCGCGACCCGUUGGGUGUCGGUCAUAACACAAAUAUUGGGCCCGAUGCGGCAGACUGUUGUGCGAUCUCGUACUGCAGACCAUCGGUGUUAUUGUUCGAAAGAUCAAUAUACCCGACCGACUGCCCGACGGUAUUGAAAGCUCCUCAAUCAUGAUUUGGUAUCGAGCCGCAUAUUUGAAUGCGUUCGGCUUGCCGAUCGUCCGAAUCUCGCUUGAAUUUUACGGACCUCGUGCCGUUGUCGUGCGUUUGAUUUCGUUCGAUCGUUGCAAUGACCUCGAACCGGCUCUCUCUCUAUGAAAAAAUACCGGUCAGCGACGCUUUUGCUUUGGAUACUUUCAGG
rnacentral:rRNA from 1 species